rnacentral:misc_RNA from 1 species
AAUUCUCAACCCUCCUAUUUUGUAAUGAAAUAGGUUGUGGGUUUGGAUUAUGGCUGUCUGUCGGCUCGUCACGAGCCGGCUCAGCUGAAAUACACGAGCAACCCAGCUGGAACAGCGACGGCUUGACUCGGCAUAAUAACCUAUUUCGCUGAGGACGUCGCACUGUACGUUUCAAGUAGCGGUGCUUCUAAUGCAUAUUCAUCUUAAGC